GACGAACGCUGGCGGCGUGCUUAACACAUGCAAGUCGAACGAUGAAGCCGGAGCUUGCUCUGGUGAAUUAGUGGCGAACGGGUGAGUAACACGUGAGUAACCUGCCCUUGACUCUGGGAUAACUGCGGGAAACUGUAGCUAAUACCGGAUACGACCCUCGGAGGCAUCUCCUGGGGGGGGAAAGAAUUUCGGUCAAGGAUGGACUCGCGGCCUAUCAGCUAGUGGGUGAGGUAAAGGCUCACCAAGGCGACGACGGGUAGCCGGCCUGAGAGGGUGACCGGCCACACUGGGACUGAGACACGGCCCAGACUCCUACGGGAGGCAGCAGUGGGGAAUAUUGCACAAUGGGCGCAAGCCUGAUGCAGCAACGCCGCGUGAGGGAUGACGGCCUUCGGGUUGUAAACCUCUUUCAGCAGGGAAGAAGCGAAAGUGACGGUACCUGCAGAAAAAGCACCGGCUAACUACGUGCCAGCCGCCGCCGUAA
rnacentral:rRNA from 1 species